rnacentral:rRNA from 1 species
UACGUAGGGGGCAAGCGUUGUCCGGAUUUAUUGGGCGUAAAGAGCUCGUAGGUGGUUCGGUAAGUCGGAUGUGAAAUCUCCAGGCUCAACCUGGAGGGGUCAUUCGAUACUGCCGUGACUAGAGUUCGGUAGGGGAGUGUGGAAUUCCUGGUGGAGCGGUGAAAUGCGCAGAUAUCAGGAGGAACACCAAUAGCGAAGGCAGCUCGCUGGGACGUUACUGACACUGAGGCGCGAAAGCGUGGGGAGCGAACAGG